UACAGAGGUCCCAAGCGUUUGUUCGGAUUCAUUGGGCGUAAAGGGUGCGUAGGCGGCGCGGUAAGUCGGGUGUGAAAUCUGGAGCUUAACUCCGAAACUGCAUUCGAUACUGCCGUGCUUGAGGACUGGAGAGGAGACUGGAAUUUACGGUGUAGCGGUGAAAUGCGUAGAUAUCGUAAGGAAGACCAGUGGCGAAGGCGGGUCUCUGGAC
rnacentral:rRNA from 1 species